CAAAGGAAUUGACGGGGGCCGCACAAGCGGUGGAGCGUGUGGUUUAAUUCGAAGCAACGCGAAGAACCUUACCAGGUCUUGACAUCCCGAUGCUAUUCUAGAGAUAGAAAGUUACUCGGUACAUCGGUGACAGGUGGUGCAUGGUUGUCGUCAGCUCGUGUCGUGAGAUGUUGGGUUAAGUCCCGCAACGAGCGCAACCCCUAUUGUUAGUUGCCAUCAUUCAGUUGGGCACUCUAGCGAGACUGCCGGUAAUAAACCGGAGGAAGUGGGGAUGACGUCAAAUCAUCAUGCCCCUUAUGACCUGGGCUACACACGUGCUACAAUGGUUGGUACAACGAGUUGCGAGUCGGUGACGGCGAGCUAAUCUCUUAAAGCCAAUCUCAGUUCGGAUUGUAGGCUGCAACUCGCCUACAUGAAGCCGGAAUCGCUAGUAAUCGCGGAUCAGCAUGCCGCGGUCGAAUACGUUCCCGGGCCUU
rnacentral:rRNA from 1 species